rnacentral:rRNA from 1 species
UUUCGUAUGCUGCACGCCUACAUGCAGUCGAGCGGCACACAUAGAACUUGUUUCUUGGGUGGCGAGUGGCGAACGGGUGAGUAAUGUAUGGUAACUGCCUGGUAGAGGGGGAUAACAAUUGGAAACAUAAGGAAGAUUACUCCCCACCUCCCAAGAGCAAAGCAGGGGACCUUCGGGCCUUGCGUUAUCGGAGCUGCCGAUAUGGGAUUAGCUAGUUGGUGGGGUAAAGGCCCACCAAGGCGACGAUCCCUAGCUGGUCUGAGAGGAUGAUCCCCCACCCUGGAACUGAAACACGGCCCAGACUCCUACGGGAGGCAGCAGUGGGGAAUAUUGGAUUGGGGCGCAAGCCUGAUGCAGCCAUGCCGCGUGUCUGAAAAAGGCCUUCGGGUUGUAAAGUACUUUUGUUUGGAAGAAGGGGGUGUUGCUAAUACCUUUGGCUUUGACGUACCCUGAGAAAAAAGCGCCGGCUAACUCCGUGCCCCCCGCCGCGGUAA